rnacentral:tRNA from 1 species
CUGGGGAUGUAUCUCAGUGGUAGAGUGCUCACCUAGUAUGUGUGAGGCCCUGGGUUCAAUCUCCAAUACUGAAA